GCGGGGUAACGGCCCACCAAGGCGACAACGGGUAGCCGACCUGAGAGGGUGACCGGCCACACUGGAACUGAGACACGGUCCAGACUCCUACGGGAGGCAGCAAGCGGGAAUCUUGUCCAACGGGGGAAACCCUGGGACAGCGACGCCGCGUGAGGGAUGAAGGCCUUCGGGUCGUAAACCUCUUUUGGCAGGGACGAACACAAUGACGGUACCUGCAGAAUAAGCCCCGGCUAACUCCGUGCCAGCAGCCGCGGUAAUACGGAGGGGGCAAGCGUUGUCCGGAUUUACUGGGCGUAAAGAGCGCGUAGGUGGUCCGCUAAGUCGGCUGUGAAAUCGCUGGGCUUAACCCAGCAACUGCAGUCGAUACUGGUGGACUCGAGUCCGGGAGAGGGAAGCGGAAUUGCUGGUGUAGCGGUGGAAUGCGUAGAUAUCAGCAAGAACACCGGUGGCGAAGGCGGCUUCCUGGACCGGUACUGACGCUGAGGCGCGAAAGCUAGGGGAGCGAACGGGAUUAGAUACCCCGGUAGUCCUAGCCGUAAACGAUGGUCACUAGGUGUUGCGGGUAUCGACCCCUGCAGUGCCGGAGCUAACGCAUUAAGUGACCCGCCUGGGGAUUACGGCCGCAAGGCUGAAACUCAAAUGAAUUGACGG
rnacentral:rRNA from 1 species